AAGCCAGAUGGGCUUGCUCAUCGUCAGGAACGUGCAGCGGGGGAGUGCGUGAGCACCCAGAACACGCGACAGUUCACCUGGACCAGAGCCUUUACUCAGCCCAAAGUCCCCAAAGAAGAUUCCAUCUCAAUCCGAGUUCCAGGAGUGCCAAGUCGGGAUUUGCUUCCUGAGCUGGUGCCCCCCAAAUGGGAGCCGAGACCACAGAGGCCAGGUGACCCCCCCAGGGAAACACAGGAGGAAGACGGGCAGCAACCGCCUAGCCCCCUCCAGCUGGCCAGCCACUUCCCACGUCCCGGGGCUCCCUGGAUGCCUCUGAUGAGAAAAAGAAUCCAGAAUCUUCAAGCGGAGAGAAGACUGCCUCCAAGUGGGCUGGAAAAUCCACAUGUGAACAACCCCAACUCCUUUCAUUCUGUGCUUUCGCUUGUCAAGUCUUCUCCUGCCCCCAAACCUACUGCAACCGAAUACCUGGAAUAAUUGGAAAUUCUCGGAAAAUAUUACAGCCCUGUUCCCUCUAAACACAUGCUCCCGCCUCUCUCCUUCAUUCUGUCUGUCUGUCUUGCUCUGCCAUUCCUUCCUGUCUGCUUAUCCCCACCCCCAUUCUUUCUCUUAAUAUAUACUUUUCUCUGUGUCAGUCUCUCUGUCUCUCUCUCU